UCAAAUAGCUUACUUCUACACAGUGGAGUUGCCGCUUUAGUUAGAAUUAAGUACGUGUUUUGAUCUUUAUGUGACACUGACUCUUGCUGUGUUGCUCUGUGUUUCUGACAGCAUGUUUAGCUGGGUGAUAAAGGUUGUUCCCCAGCCUCCAGCAUCUCCUGGGAAGCUGGCAGAGGAGGACCAGACCAAUGCUCCCACCGCAGCUCCAGCGACUGAUGCGACGAAAAAACAAGAUGCAAAACAAGAACCUUCCAAGUCAACGGAGGAGGUCUCGGAGGA